UGAAGAGAUAAAACAAUCCUCCUGUUUUCUUAUUUACCGUUUCUGUGAUUUUCGACAAGGAUAGAAUGGACGCCUUACCCCCGCCGAAAGCGUUUUUGUGGAUCCCAGCGCCUUACGAAUUCCCCGGGGUCUCUCAAACUUUCUAGAAGCGGCUGUCAAAUUUAAUUUUGAAAUUCAGCGUGCAGUAAGUUUGCUUCUUUGGCAACUUAGCAGAGUCUCUCAAACUUCAGAGAAGCGGUGAAUUAUCAAAUCCAGUUUUCGUACUUCGCGGUGAGCGCGAUUAAAGUCAUUCCCUCUGGCUUGUGAGUGUUUACCUAUGAAAGCGGAAUUUUGAGGAACUGAUUUGACAUCCCAUCAAAAUGUUUAUAAGUCAUAGCGCGAAGGCAAUCGAAAACUGACACAACGCUCACGGUUAGACCUAAAUUUCAAACGGUUUGACCGGCUCGCGCGCCUUCAGAACUUGAAGCGGCUCAGUUAACGUGGGUCUAUUGAAUGAAACUUUGCAGGGCAAAUUCGAAACUUAGGACAGGGGAUGUCCUUGAAGCAGGCACCAGUCGUUUUAUAUGAACAAUAUUAAGUUGAGUACGGACAUUAUGGAAACAAGAAUGAAAAUCAAGUCACUGGUAAACGUAGACUGUUUAAUCGGAAAUGAAAGAAGCUGUUCAGCCAUGAGGAGUAUAAAAUGCAACAUAUUUAUGGAGCGUUACGAUGCAUUCGAAAAGGGCUUUUUUUCUGAUAUAGUCACAUGUAAUGUUAAAUGGAGUCUUGAUAAAUACCCUUUGCUGUGUGGUAUACUUCGGAAAUCACUUGAUAACUAAAGGAAUGAGUUAACAAUAUAUAUUAAAUCCGGCGACUAAUUAGUAAAUAUUUAUGAUAGCUAGAAAUUAUAUAUUCUAUCACAGAUGUUUACAUUAUAUACAUGUAAAAGUUGUAUUUUCAAAUUGGACUUUUUUACUUUAAAGCAACAACUGGACAGCAGCACGUAGAAAGUAAUCGUCACUCUAAUCGAUAAGCUUAAAACUGUCGUCAAUUCUGUGAUACGCUGACACGAUAUUGGAAACCUAUGAAGAAUCACCAUGAAUUUUUAAUUUGCCUUGUACUUAUUUGUUUCAAAUGAUGGAUAGCAAUUAUCGAACAUCAAGCGAUAGUUGAUCAGGUCUUGAAGCAUAAUGCCAACGAGGCUGAGUCUCGCCUCUCGGAAUUGAGUUACUAUUGAAAUCAACGCAGUGUACGAAUAAUUAAAAGACAUCAUUAGCACAUCCGUAGAGAUGCUACCGGUGAUUGUACACAUUUUAAGUAUGCGCCCUGAAGAUUUUAUGCAUUGUAACAUUUGGGGGGAUUUUGUGGUUACACAUCAUAGUUUGUAGAUUUAGGUUUAAAAAAGUGUUUACUAUUUCGGGUUGGCAGCCGGCCAGAUAAAAAAUUCUUCAAAGUUACUUGAAGCUGGCCAUAGAUGAGAAUUGGUAAGUAUAGUCACGUUUCGAGUUUUCAAUUAUCUGUCAAUGUAAUUAUUAAAAGGUUAGUUUUAAAAAAAUAUAUAUCCUAAAGAUAUUGUAUUCAAAUCUGUUUAUUCAUCAUUACAGAAGUUUUAAUAACUUAGAUAAAAUCUUAGUUGAAUUUGGUUCAUCAAAUAUGUAUGGUUGAUGCUAUAGAUAGUAACUGAAACUUAUGAAUAUUUGCAUUAAUGCAAUGUAGUUGAAUAUUGAAGACUCUUUCGAGAAGGCGACUUUAGUCAUGCAUUGUUACUGUGCAUAUAUAAGAUUUUAUCCAUACAAUUUGCACAGAUCCGAAGUUUUUUAUUCGUGCAACUGGUACAGAUGUAAUAAGUUAAAUGCAAUUAUUUAUCAAUAUAAUCGACAAUUAUAGAAAUUGUAUUAAAAUUUCGUUUCUAAUCAAAGUUGUGCUGUUGAAAUAAUCACUUUUAUGUGUUGAUGUACAAGGCAAUCUUUUAUUUGGUUUUUUUAUGAGAAAUUUCACUUGUAUUUUACCAGACACAUGAAUUUACGCAAAUAACAACCUUUCAUUCCGGUUUUUCCUGUAACUGCUUCUCCAGCCAAAUUAAAUUUAUCUAAGAGUUCAGUUUUAGUGGUCAGGCAUAGAAGAAAUAGAAUAAUUAAAUAAUUUUAUAAGAUUAACAGUGGUAUGAUGGGGAAAAUUAUGUAUUUAUAGCAGAUGUAUGAUCGGAAAAUUUUUAGUUCUUAACAAAUGAUCUUACCGCUGUAGAUUUAUCAUUUGUGCAGUAUGUGUGUGUUGACAAUGAAACUAAUCCACCGUAUCAUUGAAACAAAUAACAAUCAGAAAAAGAGUUGGAAAGGAGUGAACAGGGGACAUAAAAAUAAAUAAAAUCAUUAAGUUUUAUUAGGAAAAUGAGGUACAGACUUAGAAAUUAAUAUUUAGAUAAAGUCAUACAUUAGGCAAACAUUACAACCUUCGCUAUAAAGUCAGAACAUGUAUAAAGCAAAUACGGCAGUUAACGUUUAAGAUUAUGGUGCAUUUAAACAUUAUAUCUCAACGUAUACUCGUCCGUAUGAAUUUAUGCAAAUAAUAAAGCUUUUCACUCAAUUCAUUAAAAAGAAUGCUUCUUCAGCUAAAUUGAAUUUGGCUAAAAGUUUAGUGUCCAAACAUAGACGAAAUACAAUCAUCAAAUAACUUAAUUCAUCAGAUUUACAACAAAUAUCAUAUUGUUGAAACGUAUCCGAAAUACGGCUUUAGACAAAGUUCUCACAAUUUGAUUCGGCGUCAGACAGAUUUUCUGUAAGAAACCCAUUAUAUUUUACCAGAUAUUCCCUUCAGGUGAUAUUGGGUGAGGCCUGAAUAUCUGAUGAGGAAGUGUCUUCAAUUUAUCAUAUCAAUGUCAGUAAAGGUGUAGUGAACAACUUCUAUUGUAUCAUCAUUGAUGCCAAAUUAUACAAACAUAAGCCUUGGGAAAUUUGUUGCGCUCAAAUUUACUGCCAUGGAUCAUCAGAUUGGUAUUCGUUGCCUGGUUCGUCUUACAAUAACUCCAAGACGAAAUUUUUAAACGAUCUAGUGGUAUAGUGAACAAGCAGUAAAUAUACUUAUAAGCUCUAAGCCGCUACCAUAAGUCCGUUCAUCACAAAUUCUAUAGAAAUUUUGGCCACGCUCUAAAAACUUGCAACGCAAUCUGAAUGAAAACAGGGCUAUGUAAAAUUUUAAUAAAUCCAUUAAGUACCCUUAAGGAGUUGAAACCAUUCAAACUAUACUAUGUCAUAAUAUAAAUGAAAUGCUUACUAGAAAAUUUAGCCUCUCAUAUAAACUAAACACUUCUAGAGUGAAAGCUUUAUAAAUAU